UUCGUAGGUGGUGCGGCAAGUUGGAAGUGAAAUCUCUGGGCUUAACCCAGAGGCUGCUUUCAAAACUGCCGCGCUCGAGUGCGAGAGAGGUCAGUGGAAUUGCAGGUGUAGCGGUGAAAUGCGUAGAUAUCUGCAGGAACACCCGUGGCGAAGGCGGCUGACUGGAUCGCAACUGACACUGAGGAACGAAAGCUAGGGGAGCAAAACAGGAUUAGAUACCCUGGUAGUCCUAGCCCUAAACCAUCAGAACUUGGGGUGGCCCGCGUAGGCGGGUCGUCCCGUAGCUAACGCGUUAAGUUCUGCGCCUGGGGAGUACGGUCGCAAGACUGAA
rnacentral:rRNA from 1 species